UAUGCAUGCAAGUCGAACGAGGCUCCGCCGAAAGGCGGAAGUCGAGUGGCGUAAGGGUGAGUAAUGCAUAGAUAACCUACCUCUAAGAUGUGGAUAACAACGUCCUGGGGCAACUCAGGAUUACCGAAAGGGUUGCUAAUACCCAAUAAUGUUAGUAAAACACAUGUUUUACUAACCAAAGGGGCCCGUAAGGGUCAUACUUGGAGAGGGAUCUAUGUCCUAUCAGCUUGUUGGUAGGGUAACGGCCUACCAAGGCAAUGACGGGUAGCCGGCCUGAGAGGGUGGUCGGCCACAUUGGGACUGAGACACUGCCCAGACUCCUACGGGAGGCUGCAGUCGAGGAUCUUUCGCAAUGCCCGAAAGGGUGACGAAGCGACGUCGUGUGUGGGAGGAAGGCCUUCGGGUUGUAAACCGCUGUUAGGAGUUAAGAAAUGUAAGGGUGCUAAUACCAUCCUUGCUUGACAAAAGCUCCAGAGGAAGUCACGGCUAACUCUGUGCCAGCAGCCGCGGUAAUACAGAGGUGGCAAGCGUUGUUCGGAAUCAUUGGGCGUAAAGAGCACGUAGGCGGUUUUGCAAGUCUGGUGUGAAAGCCCCUGGCUUACCAGGAACUGCAUCAGAUACUACAAGACUUGAGUACAGUAGGGGAGAGCGGAACUUCUAGUGGAGCGGUGAAAUGCGUAGAUAUUAGAAGGAACGCCGGCGGCGAAAGCGGCUCUCUAUGCUGUAACUGACGCUGAGUGUGCAAAAGCUAGGGGAGCAAACGGGAUUAGAUACCCCGGUAGUCCUAGCCGUAAACGAUGGGCACUAAGUAGGGGGGUNGACGACCUCUCUGCCGGAGCUAACGCAUUAAGUGCCCCGCCUGGGAAGUACGGCCGCAAGGCUAAAACUCAAAGGAAUUGACGGGGGCUCGCACAAGCGGUGAAGAAUGUGGCUUAAUUCGAUGCAACGCGAAGAACCUUACCGGGGUUUGACAUGAUGGAAGUAGAAACCUGAAAGGGGGACAAUUGGUAUCCAGUCCAAAACCAUCACAGGUGUUGCAUGGCUGUCGUCAGCUCGUGUCGUGAGACGUCGGGUUAAGUCCUCUAACGAGCGAAACCCUUAUCUCUAGUUGCCAGCGGGUAAUGCCGGGAACUCUAGAGAGACCGCCGUUGUUAAAACGGAGGAAGGUGGGGAUAACGUCAAGUCAUCAUGGCCUUUAUGCCCCGGGCUGCACACGUUCUACAAUGGCCAGUACAGAGGGAAGCGAAACCGCGAGGUGGAGCGAAUCCUACAAAGCUGGUCUUAGUUCGGAUUGGAGGCUGAAACUCGCCUCCAUGAAGCUGGAAUCGCUAGUAAUCGCGGAUCAGCCUGCCGCGGUGAAUAUGUUCCC
rnacentral:rRNA from 1 species